rnacentral:rRNA from 1 species
UGCCUAUGGCCAUACUAGCCUGAACACGCCCGAUCCCGUCCGAUCUCGGAAGCUAAGCAGGCUCAGGCCUGGUUAGUACUUGGAUGGGAGACCGCCUGGGAAUACCAGGUGCCGUAGGCU